AUUGAACGCUGGCGGCAUGCUUUACACAUGCAAGUCGAACGGUAACAGGUUAAGCUGACGAGUGGCGAACGGGUGAGUAAUGCAUCGGAACGUGCCCGAUCGUGGGGGAUAACGCAGCGAAAGCUGCGCUAAUACCGCAUACGAUCUAAGGAUGAAAGCGGGGGACCGUAAGGCCUCGCGCGAUCGGAGCGGCUGAUGUCAGAUUAGGUAGUUGGUGGGGUAAAGGCCCACCAAGCCGACGAUCUGUAGCUGGUCUGAGAGGACGACCAGCCAAACUGGACAUGAGACACGGCCCAGACUGCUACGGGAGGCAGCAGUGGGGAAUUUUGGACAAUGGGCGAAAGCCUGAUCCAGCAAUGCCGCGUGCAGGAAGAAGGCCUUCGGGUUGUAAACUGCUUUUGUACGGAGCGAAAAGGUCCUUUCUAAUACAAGGGGCUCAUGACGGUACCGUAAGAAUAAGCACCGGCUCACUACGUGCCAGCAGCCGCCGUAA
rnacentral:rRNA from 1 species